rnacentral:rRNA from 1 species
UACGUAGGGUGCGAGCGUUAAUCGGAAUUACUGGGCGUAAAGGGUGCGCAGGCGGUUCUGCAAGUCAGGCGUGAAAGCCCCGGGCUUAACCUGGGAAUGGCGCUUGAAACUACAGGACUGGAGUAUGGCAGAGGGAGGUGGAAUUCCACGUGUAGCGGUGAAAUGCGUAGAGAUGUGGAGGAACACCGAUGGCGAAGGCAGCCUCCUGGGCCAAUACUGACGCUCAUGCACGAAAGCGUGGGGAGCAAACAGGAUUAGAUACCCUGGUAGUCCACGCCCUAAACGAUGAUGACUAGUUGUUGGAGGAGUUAAAUCCUUUAGUAACGCAGCUAACGCGCGAAGUCAUCCGCCUGGGGAGUACGGUCGCAAGAUUAAA